UGCAGUCGACGGCAGCACGGGAGCAAUCCUGGUGGCGAGUGGCGAACGGGUGAGUAAUACAUCGGAACGUGCCCAAUCGUGGGGGAUAACGCAGCGAAAGCUGUGCUAAUACCGCAUAAGAUCUACGGAUGAAAGCAGGGGAUCGCAAGACCUUGCGCGAAUGGAGCGGCCGAUGGCAGAUUAGGUAGUUGGUGAGGUAAAGGCUCACCAAGCCUUCGAUCUGUAGCUGGUCUGAGAGGACGACCAGCCACACUGGGACUGAGACACGGCCCAGACUCCUACGGGAGGCAGCAGUGGGGAAUUUUGGACAAUGGGCGAAAGCCUGAUCCAGCCAUGCCGCGUGCAGGAUGAAGGCCUUCGGGUUGUAAACUGCUUUUGUACGGAACGAAACGGCCUUUUCUAAUAAAGAGGGCUAAUGACGGUACCGUAAGAAUAAGCACCGGCUAACUACGUGCCAGCAGCCGCGGUAAUACGUAGGGUGCAAGCGUUAAUCGGAAUUACUGGGCGUAAAGCGUGCGCAGGCGGUUAUGUAAGACAGUUGUGAAAUCCCCGGGCUCAACCUGGGAACUGCAUCUGUGACUGCAUAGCUAGAGUACGGUAGAGGGGGAUGGAAUUCCGCGUGUAGCAGUGAAAUGCGUAGAUAUGCGGAGGAACACCGAUGGCGAAGGCAAUCCCCUGGACCUGUACUGACGCUCAUGCACGAAAGCGUGGGAGCAAACAGGAUUAGAUACCCUGGUAGUCCACGCCCUAAACGAUGUCACUGGUUGUUGGGUCUUCACUGACUCA
rnacentral:rRNA from 1 species